rnacentral:rRNA from 1 species
UACGGGAGGCAGCAGUGGGGAAUAUUGCACAAUGGGCGCAAGCCUGACGCAGCCAUGCCGCGUGUAUGAAGAAGGCCUUCGGGUUGUAAAGUACUUUCAGCGGGGAGGAAGGCGAUGUGGUUAAUAACCGCGUCGAUUGACGUUACCCGCAGAAGAAGCACCGGCUAACUCCGUGCCAGCAGCCGCGGUAAUACGGAGGGUGCAAGCGUUAAUCGGAAUUACUGGGCGUAAAGCGCACGCAGGCGGUCUGUUAAGUCAGAUGUGAAAUCCCCGGGCUUAACCUGGGAACUGCAUUUUGAAACUGGCAGGCUUGAGUCUCGUAGAGGGGGUAGAAUUCCAGGUGUAGCGGUGAAAUGCGUAGAGAUCUGGAGGAAUACCGGUGGCGAAGGCGGCCCCUGGGACGAAGACUGACGCUCAGGGUGCGAAAGCGUGGGGAGCAAACAGGGAUUAGAUACC